CUUUUGGGCUUUGUUCAUUAAGAAACUGAAUAUCUGAAAUAAGCAACAAGAGCAAGUCAUGCAGGAAACCCCUCAGCAAGAGAAUCUCACUGCCUCAAAACUAAUUAAGAGGGCAUCUGAAAUUACUUACCAUGUUGAAUUACUCGCUCCUGAGCUAUACUCUUCACCCUUUGCUUCAAGGCAUCAUUUUUCAAGUCUCCUGAUAUGUUUUGUCAAGUAAGAAAGUCCAUUCUAGUGAACACAUAUAUCACUUCCAACUGCAUUAUUCAGGCAUGAAUAUAUUCUGAAAAUAUCAGUGCAUCGGGGAGCAAAAAUAUAUAAACAUCUAUUGCCAUGAGAUCAUGU
rnacentral:lncRNA from 1 species